rnacentral:rRNA from 1 species
UACGGGGGGGGCAAGCGUUGUUCGGAAUUACUGGGCGUAAAGGGCUCGUAGGCGGCCAACUAAGUCAGACGUGAAAUCCCUCGGCUUAACCGGGGAACUGCGUCUGAUACUGGAUGGCUUGAGUUUGGGAGAGGGAUGCGGAAUUCCAGGUGUAGCGGUGAAAUGCGUAGAUAUCUGGAGGACCACCGGUGGCGAAGGCGGCAUCCUGGACCAACACUGAGGCUGAGUGAGCGAAAGCCAGGGGAGCAAACGGG